AUACCUUUCUCGGCCUUUUGGCUAAUAUCAAGUGUAGUAUCUGUUCUUAUCAGUUUAAUAUCUGAUAUGUGGUUCAUCGGGUCACACGAUAUUAACUCUAUUUUUAAGGGAGAAAACCUACUAAUGUAGCUUGCUAUCUGGUGUUUCUCAAAAAAAAAAAACAAAA
rnacentral:snRNA from 1 species